UUGGAGGGCAAGUCUGGUGCCAGCAGCCGCGGUAAUUCCAGCUCCAAUAGCGUAUAUUAAAGUUGUUGCAGUUAAAAAGCUCGUAGUUGAAUUUCGGGAUCAGAGUGUCGGUCGUGCCUCGGUACGCACUGGUAUUAUUGGUUCCUACCUUCUGAAGAACCGCGAUGUCAUUAAUUUGGUGUCGUGGGGAAUCAGGACUGUUACUUUGAAAAAACUAGAGUGUUUAAAGCAGGCUUACGCUUGAAUACAUUAGCAUGGAAUAAUGAAAUAGGACGUUUGAUUCUAUUUUGUUGGUUUCUAGGAUUGACGUAAUGAUUAAUAGGGAUAGUUGGGGGCAUUAGUAUUCAAUUGUCAGAGGUGAGAUUCUUGGAUUUAUUGAAGACUAACUACUGCGAAAGCAUUUGCCAAGGAUGUUUUCAUUAAUCAAGAACGAAAGUUAGGGGAUCGAAGACGAUCAGAUACCGUCGUAGUCUUAACCAUAAACUAUGCCGGCUAGGGAUCGGAUGAUGUUAAUUUUUUAAUGACUCAUUCGGCGCCUUACGGGAAACCAAAGUGUUUGGGUUC
rnacentral:rRNA from 1 species